CAGUAGCCGCGGGAAUACGUAGGGUGCGAGCGUUAAUCGGAAUUACUGGGCGUAAGGCGUGCGCAGGCGGUUGUGUAAGACAGGUGUGAAAUCCCCGGGCUUAACCUGGGAACUGCGCUUGUGACUGCACAGCUAGAGUAUGGCAGAGGGGGGUGGAAUUCCACGUGUAGCAGUGAAAUGCGUAGAGAUGUGGAGGAACACCGAUGGCGAAGGCAGCCCCCUGGGCCAAUACCGACGCUCAUGCACGAAAGCGUGGGGAGCAAACAGGAUUAGAUACCCGGGUAGUCCCUGUCUCUUAUAA
rnacentral:rRNA from 1 species